rnacentral:tRNA from 1 species
GCCCGGGUGGUGGAAUCUGGUAGACACCAGGGACUUAAAAUCCCUUGGAGCAAUGCUCCGUGCCGGUUCAAGUCCGGCCCCGGGCA